GACGAACCGUGCGAACGUUGUUCGGAAUCACUGGGCUUAAAGGGCGCGUAGGCGGGCCAUCAAGUCCGUGGUGAAAUCCCCCGGCUCAACCGGGGAAGUGCUGCGGAUACUGGUGGUCUCGAGUGGGGUAGGGGCAUGUGGAACUUCCGGUGGAGCGGUGAAAUGCGUAGAUAUCGGAAGGAACGCCGGUGGCGAAAGCGACGUGCUGGACCCCUUCUGACGCUGAGGCGCGAAAGCCAGGGGAGCAAACGGG
rnacentral:rRNA from 1 species